UACCCCUCAUACAUUCGGAUAUAUCCGAUCUACCUUUGCUUUUUUUUUUUUCUUUCUAAAAUGCCCCUCAUAUGUUCCACCGUUAUUCUAAAAUAUCCCUGCAGUUAUCCUUUGUUAGCUUAACUCGGGUUAAACAUGAGUUAAAUGUAUACUAGAGUUAAAAUCUAAAUAAAAUACCUAUUUUGCCCCUAUCAUAUUAUACUAAUUUCUUAAGUUAUCCUCCUCAUCCUCUUCGUCAUUCUCCUUCUCCCUCCUCCUCCUAUCGUCGUCCCCAACCCCGACCCCAACCCUAUCGUCGCGGAGAGGACGGCGACC
rnacentral:lncRNA from 1 species